rnacentral:lncRNA from 1 species
UUUAGUUUUAGGUGGACAGAAUAUCUUUAUUUUAUUUCUUUGUGGUGCUGAGAAUCGAACCCAGUGCCUCAUACAUGCUAGAUGAGCGCACUACCACUUGAGCUACAUCCCCACAUCCUCUUCUUUCCACUUCAUCUUAGGCACUGUUGUCAAAUAAAUUUUCUCUUUCUUUUUUGAGCCAGGUUUCUCCAUGUUGCCCAGGCUGACCUUGAUCUCCUGGACUUGACAUCCUCCCAGUUCCGUCUCCCACAUUGCUGGAACUACAAGCAUAUUGCCAUCACACUCAGCUAUUGUUUUUAACUUAUCCCAUCUCUCCACCUCUAAAACUGUGAGCUCGGCAAGGGUAGGGGCCAGAUGCAUCUCUGGUGACUAGCCUACAUCCUGGGGUAGACAUUCAAUUAUAUUUGUUGUCC